rnacentral:rRNA from 1 species
AGGACGAACGCUGGCGGCGUGCUUAACACAUGCAAGUCGAGCGGAAAGGCCUUUCGGGGUACUCGAGCGGCGAACGGGUGAGUAACACGUGAGUAAUCUGCCCAUCGCUUCAGGAUAGCCAUCGGAAACGGUGAUUAAUACUGGAUAUGACAUUCCUUCGCAUGUUGGGGGUGUGGAAAGUUUUUUCGGCGGUGGAUGUGCUCGCGGCCUAUCAGCUUGUUGGUGGGGUAAUGGCCUACCAAGGCUUUGACGGGUAGCCGGCCUGAGAGGGUGACCGGCCACGACUGGGACUGAGACACGGCCCAGACUCCUACGGGAGGCAGCAGUGGGGAAUAUUGGACAAGUGGGCGGAAGCCUGAUCCAGCAACGCCGCGUGAGGAUGACGGCCUUCGGGUUGUAAACCUCUUUCAGCACAGACGAAGUUUUGUCGUUUUUUUGGUGUAAGUGACGGUAUGUGCAGAAGAACGGACCGGACAACGUACGUGCCAGCAGCCGAC